GCACCCGCGGUAAUUCCAGCUCCAAUAGCGUAUAUUAAAGUUGUUGCAGUUAAAAAGCUCGUAGUUGGAUUUCUGCGAGGGUGCCAAUGUCCGCCGACGCGCGUGCGCAGCGGCGCCCUCGCAUCCUUCUGUUACCACCUCUCGGCAUUCACUUGCCGGUGGUCGGCUCAGAGAAUUUACCUUGAGAAAAUUAGAGUGUUUCAGGCAGGCUAGGCCGGAAUACAUUAGCAUGGAAUAAUGGAACAGGACUACGGUCUCGUCGUUGGUUUGAGGGACUGCAGUAAUGAUUAAUAGGGAUAGUUGGGGGCAUUAGUAUUUAAUUGUCAGAGGUGAAAUUCUCAGAUUUGUUAAAGACUAACUUAUGCGAAAGCAUUUGCCAAGGAUGUUUUCAUCGAUCAAGAACGAAAGU
rnacentral:rRNA from 1 species